rnacentral:rRNA from 1 species
CGGCACGGGUGAGUAACACGUAUCCAACCUGCCGUCUACUCUUGGACAGCCUUCUGAAAGGAAGAUUAAUACAAGAUGGCAUCAUGAGUCCGCAUGUUCACAUGAUUAAAGGUAUUCCGGUAGACGAUGGGGAUGCGUUCCAUUAGGCAGUUGGUGGGGUAACGGCCCACCAAACCUUCGAUGGAUAGGGGUUCUGAGAGGAAGGUCCCCCACAUUGGAACUGAGACACGGUCCAA